rnacentral:rRNA from 1 species
AACGAACGCUGGCGGCAUGCCUAACACAUGCAAGUCGAACGAGACCUUCGGGUCUAGUGGCUCACGGGUGCGUAACGCGUGGGAACCUGCCCUUAGGCUCGGAAUAACUCCCCGAAAGGGGUGCUAAUACCGGAUAAUGUCCUCGGACCAAAGAUUUAUCGCCCUUGGAUGGGCCCGCGUUGGAUUAGCUUGUUGGUAGGGUAAAAGCCUACCAAGGCGUCGAUCCAUAGCUGGUCUGAGAGGAUGAUCAGCGACACUGGGACUGAGACACGGCCCAGACUCCUACGGGAGGCAGCAGUGGGGAAUAUUGGAAAAUGGGCGAAAGCCUGAUCCAGCAAUGCCGCGUGAGUGAUGAAGGCCUUAGGGUUGUAAAGCUCUUUUACCCGGGAUGAUAAUGACAGUACCGGGAGAAUAAGCUCCGGCUAACUCCGUG